rnacentral:pre_miRNA from 1 species
CCUUAUUGAUGAGCAAAGAAAGUGGUUUCUUAAGAUGGAAACUACUCCUGGUAAAGAUGAUAUGAA